ACCAUCUGACACCCCAAAAGCUUUAUUUUUGUGGUUGAAUAUUUGCAUUUACUCUCAUUUAUUGUCAACCCAUAUUUAUCUACCGCUUUCAUGAAAAAUUUUAAAUUCUUAUCUUGCUAAUUGCUACGAUGAAAUUGAUAUAAUCGACCACAGGCUUCAAAAGCAGUAUAUUCUCUUUCACUCUCUUCAAUCCUGGCCUUAUGAUAAGCACUUUUAAGAUCCACCGUUGUGAAAAUUUUGUUGACGGCCACUCUAUGCAGUACCUCUUCAAUUUGUGGAAAAGGAUAGGCAUCCAAGAAGUAAUCAGCACUUGGGCCCUCCAUGAUGACGUACUGGGCUCGAUAAUUUCCUCGUUCAUUAAUAUCUUCACUUCUUGAUGAAUAAACUAUCUAGAAUCAAUCGUUUUUAUUUGUGAAUAUUUUUAUUGACACUAACACAGUCUGUCUUUCCUGGCAGUACACGUGAAGAUUCGUCAUUUUCAUUAAAAAAUGUAAGAGUGUCUGCUGUGGAAGAUGGUAUAACCUUUCCUUUAUAUGUUGGAGGCAUUGCUCAGAGACCUUCUUCACUCAAUAAGUUCUUUACUUUUGUGCCUGGUAUUUAAUGACAUUGAAGGUUGACAUAAAUUUACUUACAGGCAUAGAUGUGGGUACAAGGGUUAUUAAUUGUGUAACCCUCCUCUUAUCAGAUGUGGCAAUCCUUUCCUUUAUCGCUGAGACAAUCACAUCAAAAUAUCUAGCUUUUUCAAAUAUGGACUUAUCAAGCUUGUCUUCUGUGCUGCCUUCUGCUAGUACAGUUGGUUGACGAUUGCCAAUUUGUAUGUGACUCAUUUUAGUUUUUGUUUUGCUUCAGAUUUCUUUUGGGUGUUGCUUUUACUGCGUUUUUUGGUUGUGAUAUACCAUGCUCCAGGAAACCAGGAUCAAUACUGCUAAGGUCGCACGGUAAUGUGUAUACAGGAUCACAUAUAUCCUUGGUAAUAUCUUCUUCGCCACUUACGUGAUGUUCCCGAACUUGGUUGUCGAUGUUUUGCAAAGUUUCUUCACGGGAACAAGAUAGUAAAUUCGAGUUUGCCACUGUUUAUGUUCCUCUAACGAAACCGGAAAUAGACCACCUAUAAUUCAAAUUUAUUAUAUUAUUUGAAAGGAAGAAGAAAUUGGAGCAUUUCUUCUGAUUAAGCUCAAACCUUUUAAUGAAUAUGACAAAGUGUUUUUCACAAAUAUCAAUUUCUAAAUCUGUAGGAUUGAUUGCACUUCUCAGCAAAAUUAGUUCUUGCUCCUCCUGACUAAUCAAAGAGGCUACUUUAAUUUUAUCAGUUUCAGAGCAUAUUUCACCAAAUUUUACACCAAUUGAACAUUUUUCCUUCCAUUAUUAUUGUGUGCCAGUUAUUAUAUUGAACAUUUCUCUGAAUAUUGAAUUUAUUGGAGUUUUGUUUUGGGUAAAGACGCUCAUG
rnacentral:lncRNA from 1 species